rnacentral:rRNA from 1 species
UACGUAGGGCGCAAGCGUUAUCCGGAAUUAUUGGGCGUAAAGAGCUCGUAGGCGGUUUGUUGCGUCGGCUGUGAAAUCCCGAGGCUCAACCUCGGGUCUGCAGUCGAUACGAGCAAACUAGAGUGUUGCAGGGGAGACUGGAAUUCCUGGUGUAGCGGUGAAAUGCGCAGAUAUCAGGAGGAACACCGGUGGCGAAGGCGGGUCUCUGGGCAACAACAUGA